rnacentral:rRNA from 1 species
AUUGAACGCUGGCGGCAUGCCUUACACAUGCAAGUCGAACGGCAGCACGGGUGCUUGCACCUGGUGGCGAGUGGCGAACGGGUGAGUAAUACAUCGGAACGUACCUUGUCGUGGGGGAUAACAAAUUGAAAAAUUUGCUAAUACCGCAUAAUACUCUGAGGAGGAAAGCGGGGGAUUCGUCAGAACCUCGUGCGAUUAGAGCGGCCGAUGGCUGAUUAGCUAGUUGGUGAGGUAAAGGCCCACCAAGGCAACGAUCAGUAGCAGGUCUGAGAGGAUGAUCUGCCACACUGGAACUGAGAAACGGUCCAGACUCCUACGGGAGGCAGCAGUGGGGAAUUUUGGACAAUGGGGGCAACCCUGAUCCAGCAAUGCCGCGUGAGUGAAGAAGGCCUUCGGGUUGUAAAGCUCUUUUGUCAGUGAAGAAAACUUUAAUAAUAACACUAUUAAAGCAUGACGGUAACUGAAGAAUAAGGACCGGCUAACUACGUGCCAGCAGCCGCGGUAA